rnacentral:rRNA from 1 species
AGAAUCAACGCUGGCGGCGUGCCUAACACAUGCAAGUCGAACGAGAAAGUGGAGCAAUCCAUGAGUAAAGUGGCGACCGGGUGAGUAACACGUGACUACCUACCCUUGAGUGGGGGAUAACCUCGGGAAACCGAGGCUAAUACCGCAUAAUAUCGAAAGAUCAAAGGAGGUAAUCCGCUUUUGGAGGGGGUAGCGGCUGAUUAGCUAGUUGGUAGGGUAAUGGCCUACCAAGGCGAAGAUCGGUA